rnacentral:tRNA from 1 species
GGCGGAUGAAGCCAAGUGGAUCAAGGCAGUGGAUUNGUGAAUC